rnacentral:rRNA from 1 species
GACGAACGCUGGCGGCGUGCUUAACACAUGCAAGUCGAACGGAAAGGCCCUGCUUUUGUGGGGUGCUCGAGUGGCGAACGGGUGAGUAACACGUGAGUAACCUGCCCUUGACUUUGGGAUAACUUCAGGAAACUGGGGCUAAUACCGGAUAUGAGCUCCUGCUGCAUGGUGGGGGUUGGAAAGUUUCGGCGGUUGGGGAUGGACUCGCGGCUUAUAAGCUUGUUGGUGGGGUAGUGGCUUACCAAGGCUUUGACGGGUAGCCGGCCUGAGAGGGCGAACGGCCACAUUGGGACUGAGAUACGGCCCAGAAUCGUACGGGAGGCAGCGGUGGCGAAUAUUAUACAAUGGGCGGCAGCCUGGUGCAGCAACGCCGCGUGCGGGAUGACGGCCUUCGGGUUGUGAACAGCUUUCGCAUGUGACGAAGCGUCAGUGACGGUAAUGGGUACAGAAGCACCGGCUAACUACGUG